UGCGCAGCUACACAUGCAAGUCGAGCGAACCUUCGGGUUAGCGGCGGACGGGUGAGUAACGCGUGGGAACGUACCCUCUUCUGCGGGAUAGCCACUGGAAACGGUGAGUAAUACCGCAUACGCCCUUCGGGGGAAAGAUUUAUCGGAGGAGGAUCGGCCCGCGUUGGAUUAGGUAGUUGGUGGGGUAAUGGCCUACCAAGCCUACGAUCCAUAGCUGGUUUUAGAGGAUGAUCAGCCACACUGGGACUGAGACACGGCCCAGACUCCUACGGGAGGCAGCAGUGGGGAAUCUUAGACAAUGGGCGCAAGCCUGAUCUAGCCAUGCCGCGUGAGUGACGAAGGCCUUAGGGUCGUAAAGCUCUUUCGCCAGAGAUGAUAAUGACAGUAUCUGGUAAAGAAACCCCGGCUAACUCCGUGCCAGCAGCCGCGGUAAUACGGAGGGGGUUAGCGUUGUUCGGAAUUACUGGGCGUAAAGCGCACGUAGGCGGAUUGGAAAGUUGGGGGUGAAAUCCCAGGGCUCAACCCUGGAACUGCCUCCAAAACUCCCAGUCUGGAGUUCGAGAGAGGUGAGUGGAAUUCCGAGUGUAGAGGUGAAAUUCGUAGAUAUUCGGAGGAACACCAGUGGCGAAGGCGGCUCACUGGCUCGAUACUGACGCUGAG
rnacentral:rRNA from 1 species